AUUCCCUUAGUAUAAAGAGUAUGGCUGACUUCCAAUUAGCAGGACCUAGUGAUUCUGGGAGGGAAUA
rnacentral:tRNA from 1 species